ACUUUGGCCGAGCGGUCUAAGGCGCCACGUUAAAAUGUUUCAAGCUCUUUAUCCUUGUUACCAUGUCUUGAAUAUGAAGCAUAAUUUCGUGGCCCGAAAGGGCGUGGGUUCGAAUCCCACUCUAAUCA